AUGAACGCUAGCUACAGGCUUAACACAUGCAAGUCGAGGGGCAGCAUGGUCUUAGCUUGCUAAGGCCGAUGGCGACCGCGCACGGGUGAGUAACACGUAUCCAACCUGCCGUCUACUCUUGGACAGCCUUCUGAAAGGAAGAUUAAUACAAGAUGGCAUCAUGAGUCCGCAUGUUCACAUGAUUAAAGGUAUUCCGGUAGACGAUGGGGAUGCGUUCCAUUAGAUAGUAGGCGGGGUAACGGCCCACCUAGUCUUCGAUGGAUAGGGGUUCUGAGAGGAAGGUCCCCCACAUUGGAACUGAGACACGGUCCAAACUCCUACGGGAGGCAGCAGUGAGGAAUAUUGGUCAAUGGGCGAGAGCCUGAACCAGCCAAGUAGCGUGAAGGAUGACUGCCCUAUGGGUUGUAAACUUCUUUUAUAAAGGAAUAAAGUCGGGUAUGCAUACCCGUUUGCAUGUACUUUAUGAAUAAGGAUCGGCUAACUCCGUG
rnacentral:rRNA from 1 species